rnacentral:tRNA from 1 species
GUGGCUCAGUGGUAAGAGUGUUUGCCUUGCAUGCAUGAGGCCUGGGUUCGAUUCCUCAGC